rnacentral:rRNA from 1 species
UAGGGAAUCUUCGGCAAUGGGCGAAAGCCUGACCGAGCAACGCCGCGUGAGCGAUGAAGGCCUUCGGGUCGUAAAGCUCUGUUGUUAGAGAAGAACAAGUACGAGAGUAACUGCUCGUACCUUGACGGUACCUAACCAGAAAGCCACGGCUAACUACGUGCCAGCAGCCGCGGUAAUACGUAGGUGGCAAGCGUUAUCCGGAAUUAUUGGGCGUAAAGCGCGCGCAGGCGGUCUCUUAAGUCUGAUGUGAAAGCCCACGGCUCAACCGUGGAGGGUCAUUGGAAACUGGGAGACUUGAGUGCAGGAGAGAAAAGUGGAAUUCCACGUGUAGCGGUGAAAUGCGUAGAGAUGUGGAGGAACACCAGUGGCGAAGGCGGCUUUUUGGCCUGUAACUGACGCUGAGGCGCGAAAGCGUGGGGAGCAAACAGGAUUAGAUACCCUGGUAGUCCACGCCGUAAACGAUGAGUGCUAAGUGUUAGAGGGUUUCCG